CUCAGGAUGAACGCUAGCGACAGGCCUAACACAUGCAAGUCGAGGGGCAGCACAAGUAGCAAUACUUGCCGGCGACCGGCGCAAGGGUGCGUAACGCGUGAGCAACAUGCCCGUAUCAGGGGGAUAAUCCAUGGAAACGUGGUCUAAUACCCCAUAGUAAUUAUGUAAGGCAUCUUAUAUAAUUUAAAGCUUUGGUGGAUACGGAUUGGCUCGCGUGACAUUAGCUGGAUGGUAAGGUAACGGCUUACCAUGGCUACGAUGUCUAGGGGUUCUGAGAGGAAGGUCCCCCACACUGGAACUGAGACACGGUCCAGACUCCUACGGGAGGCAGCAGUGAGGAAUAUUGGACAAUGGAUGGAAAUCUGAUCCAGCCAUGCCGCGUGCCAGGAAGACGGCCCUAUGGGUUGUAAACUGCUUUUGUAUGGGAGCAAUAAGGGCUACGUGUAGUCCGAUGAGAGUACCAUACGAAUAAGCACCGGCUAACUCCGUGCCAGCCGCCGC
rnacentral:rRNA from 1 species